CCGGAUUUUACUCUCAUUUACCGCAUUUCAUCCCCCUCCCCUAACAUUUACUGUCAACCUUAUCAAUUCAAAAUCUGAUUUGAGGUUACGAGGAGAUUUCGACGCAACAAAUCCGAUUGAAGAGUCGUCGGCGACUUGUUCGUAAAAUGGUUAGGUUUUGAAGAUCUGCUGAAAUCGAACGGACCAACUCCGAUUGCAGAUCAAUGCAGUGCUGGUUGGGAAGGAGGCGUCGGCCGUUGUCGGCGUUUUCGCCGGAGAAGGAAGCGUGUGUGAGUGUCUGCGUCUGUGACUCAACCUAAACACUACUCUAGAUUGACUCGCAAUAGUACGAGAUCUAUUGUAACGUGUAAGCUAACCCAAGUCGUCUCUCAAAGAAAGUCUUUAAGGGCUUUUAAUUGUAUCGUAGGAAAAAAGCAAUAAAAGAAAGCAGUAAAAAGUUUGAUUAUUAAUCUAGAACUGAAACUUAAAAGCUGAAUUAAA